GUCCUUGUAGCUUAUACAAAGCAUGGCACUGAAGAUGCCAAGAUGGCUGCCACAAACACCCCAAGGACA
rnacentral:tRNA from 1 species